rnacentral:tRNA from 1 species
GGGUUGGCGCAGAGGUAGCGUGUUGGGCCCAUAACCCAAAGGUCGGAGGAUCGAAACCUUCAUCCG